rnacentral:rRNA from 1 species
GACGAACGCUGGCGGCGUGCCUAAUACAUGCAAGUUGAGCGCUGAAGGUUGGUACUUGUACCAACUGGAUGAGCAGCGAACGGGUGAGUAACGCGUGGGGAAUCUGCCUUUGAGCGGGGGACAACAUUUGGAAACGAAUGCUAAUACCGCAUAAAAACUUUAAACACAAGUUUUAAGUUUGAAAGAUGCAAUUGCAUCACUCAAAGAUGAUCCCGCGUUGUAUUAGCUAGUUGGUGAGGUAAAGGCUCACCAAGGCGAUGAUACAUAGCCGACCUGAGAGGGUGAUCGGCCACAUUGGGACUGAGACACGGCCCAAACUCCUACGGGAGGCAGCAGUAGGGAAUCUUCGGCAAGGGACGAAAGUCUGACCGAGCAACGCCGCGGGAGUGAAGAAGGGUGUCGGAUCGGAAAACUCUGUUGGUAGAGAAGAACGUUGGUGAGAGUGGAAAGCUCAUCAAGUGACGGUAACUACACAGAAAGGGACGGCUAACUACGUG